GAGGAGCUUGCUCUUCUGGAUGAGUUGCGAACGGGUGAGUAACGCGUAGGUAACCUGCCUGGUAGCGGGGGAUAACUAUUGGAAACGAUAGCUAAUACCGCAUAAGAGUAGAUGUUGCAUGACAUUUGCCUAAAAGGUGCAAUUGCACCACUACCAGAUGGACCUGCGUUGUAUUAGCUAGUUGGUGGGGUAACGGCUCACCAAGGCGACGAUACAUAGCCGACCUGAGAGGGUGAUCGGCCACACUGGGACUGAGACACGGCCCAGACUCCUACGGGAGGCAGCAGUAGGGAAUCUUCGGCAAUGGACGGAAGUCUGACCGAGCAACGCCGCGUGAGUGAAGAAGGUUUUCGGAUCGUAAAGCUCUGUUGUAAGAGAAGAACGAGUGUGAGAGUGGAAAGUUCACACUGUGACGGUAUCUUACCAGAAAGGGACGGCUAACUACGUGCCAGCAGCCGCGGUAAUACGUAGGUCCCGAGCGUUGUCCGGAUUUAUUGGGCGUAAAGCGAGCGCAGGCGGUUAGAUAAGUCUGAAGUUAAAGGCUGUGGCUUAACCAUAGUACGCUUUGGAAACUGUUUAACUUGAGUGCAAGAGGGGAGAGUGGAAUUCCAUGUGUAGCGGUGAAAUGCGUAGAUAUAUGGAGGAACACCGGUGGCGAAAGCGGCUCUC
rnacentral:rRNA from 1 species